CACGGCCGGAGGAGAGGCCUUGGCUGAAGGCAGACAAGGCGGAGUGGAACCACGUCCACCUUGCUCAUCCUGCGGAGCUUCGAAGAUGUCUCUUACCCGGAGUAAAAGUUGGCUUGGGACUUUAAGGCUGUGACCGGAGGGGCCUCCCCAGCUCCCACUACCCGCUUCUUCCGCAGUCUCCGUGGAGCCUCCGUGGAAGCCCCAGCCCGUCCACACUGAGGCGGCGUCCAGCGGCACUUAGAAGCCUUCUCAUCUUUUGUGUAUCGUAUCCGGGAGUCAAGGUGGUUUGGGUGCCCGAGCAGGAAGCUUGGGCGAUGGCGGAAGCGGGCAGAAACUCUUGAGCGCAGGUUCUUGGGAUCCACGGAGCAGCGCCUGCGCAUGCGAUGGCUGCCUACACAGCUGGCUUGCUUGUCUGCGGGGAAAGGCGAGAUGGGUCAGGGCCUGGGUUUCUGAGGGGCUGAGAAUCAAGGCAGGGAUAGAAGAAAGGGGACAGGCCGACAUCCCCUGAGCCCACACUGGCACCCACUCACCUUUGGGGAAAAUAUUAUUGAAAAGUGCCCGCAAGAAUCUCUUCAGAUGCCUCCAGAGCUGAGG